rnacentral:tRNA from 1 species
UCCCCGGUAGCUCAACAGGUAGAGCAUUCGGCUGUUAACCGAAGGGUUUUGGGUUCGAGUCCCAACCGGGGAGCUA